CCCGCCAAAGAAUUACGAGCACGAGCUUAAAACCUAAAAGACUUGGCGGCGCUUAAGAUCCUCCUAGAGGAGCCUGUUCUUUAACCGAUAGUCCCCGUUAAACCUUACCCUCUCUUGCCCUUUCCGCCUAUAUACCGCCGUCGUCAGCUUACCCUGUGAAGGGACAGUAGUUAGCAAGACUAGCAAGACUUAAAACGUCAGGUCGAGGUGUAGCAUAUGAGAGGGGCAGCAAUGGGCUACAUUUUCUACAAUAGAACACACGAAAAACGUACUUAAAAAUACAAUAGAAGGAGGAUUUAGCAGUAAGCAGGGAACAGAGUGCCCCACUGAAGCAGGCUCUAAAGCGCGUACACACCGCCC
rnacentral:rRNA from 1 species